rnacentral:rRNA from 1 species
UACAGAGGUCUCAAGCGUUGUUCGGAUUCAUUGGGCGUAAAGGGUGUGUAGGUGGCGCCGUAAGUCGGGUGUGAAAUUUCGGAGCUUAACUCCGAAACUGCAUUCGAUACUGCGGUGCUUGAGGACUGGAGAGGAGACUGGAAUUCAUGGUGUAGCAGUGAAAUGCGUAGAGAUCAUGAGGAAGACCAGUGGCGAAGGCGGGUCUCUGGCCAGUUCCUGACACUGAGACCCGAAGGCCAGGGGAGCAAACGGG